rnacentral:rRNA from 1 species
CAGUAGCCACGGUAAUACGGAGGAUCCAAGCGUUAUCCGGAAUCAUUGGGUUUAAAGGGUCCGUAGGCGGUCUUGUAAGUCAGUGGUGAAAGCCCAUCGCUCAACGGUGGAACGGCCAUUGAUACUGCAGGACUUGAAUUAUUGGGAAGUAACUAGAAUAUGUAGUGUAGCGGUGAAAUGCUUAGAGAUUACAUGGAAUACCAAUUGCGAAGGCAGGUUACUACCAAUUGAUUGACGCUGAUGGACGAAAGCGUGGGUAGCGAACAGGAUUAGAUACCCCAGUAGUCCCUGUCUCUUAUAA